UGCCUAGGCCAAGUAGGGUGUAUUCUUCCGUCUGAGAGUCAGGGGGGAACUCGUCGCCUGCUCGUCCACCUGCGGACAGUGCUUGAGCGCCAUCGCGGGGGAGUCUGAUGGUUUUGGGAAAGGUGGGAAUUGUGGAGUUCCCCGUAGGAACUUGCUCUAUGCCGUCGAUGAUCGUGGUUGUAGGGUUCUCUGUGAGGCCGGUUGGACCCUCGAGUUUGAUAAUUUUGCCUCUGUCAUAGCCUCUAUCUGAUGUCGAUGACGACUGCGCGCCGGUUUUGCUGUUCGGGACGUUCUUGUCUAACCCUGAUGUACUAAUGAUAGCAUACAUGCCAAGGGCAGAGGCGACAAUUCCAACAGCGCAGAAGGCGAUGCUCCGCUUAUAUCGUUGCACAGGGUUGGUGGGAUCCUGAGCACCGGCUCUUCGUUGGGGAUUCACGGUAAACCGCGGCAAGGGAGCCGGGGCCCUUGCGGAUAAAUGGCGGCGCUGGUGUUGAUGUAACUGGCUUUGCUGGCCAUUUCCAGGUGGAAUGCGGGUUAAGCGUUUUGUUUGACGGCGGAUACAUUGGUAGGAGGGAUGGCGGAAAGGGAUAUGGAUGGGAGAGGACGAUAUAUUCAUCUUGGCGAUUUUGCUGCACCAGCUGCCAAUUGAUGAUUUUUGUAUUGGAAGCUCAAUUGAGGAUUGCAGGCUUCCGUCGUUCCUCCCCACCAAUGGUGGAGUAGAGCUUUGGAUCCGGAAAUGAUGUUUUGGAGCAAAAGAGCUCAGUUACCACCAAUAAAAUCCCCCCAAAGAUGUUGCUAAGCACUCACGUGAUGUAUAUCAAGGCUCGCCAGCAAUUCUUCAUUACGUGCUGGCCAUCGCACAUAUUUGCCUCAGCUGUCUACAUGCUAAUACAACCACUUAGACGUCCCACAUAUUUGACCGAUAAAAGUAUUUGACCGGCAAUUGGCGUUUGUAUCAUUGAUAUGUACUAUGCUCUCUCUAUGUACGAAUAUGCACUGUUGCAUGCAAAUGCCCGGAUAUACAGUCGUCAUCCAUGUCGAAUCCAAGGGGCAGAAUAAAAAGGCUGAAAAAGUGAACGUAUAAGAGGGUGUGCUUAAGCUAAGAUAGAGGAUGUAAAUGAACAAAAAUGCUCAUGAUAAUGAAGUCAAAUAAGCAAGGGAUAAAGAAAGGAAAGUGAACAAGUUAGCAUAAGAAAAAAUGGCGGAAAAAAACAUGUGUGAAAACAAGGAGAAGAUAAGAGAACAUUCGCUCGCAAAAUGCUAGAAAAAUGCAUUGACGACUUGAAAAAAUGAGAACAGAAAUAUUUCACAAGGCCACCGCCCCCUCAAAACGCCAAAAAAUUGUCGUAAAUAACAUCAAUACCUAUGAGUAGUUAAGUAAUUCAUGCAUCAUUUUCAGGUCGAUUCCCAUCGCCUCGUGGCAAUCUUGUCCAAUGUGUCCUCGGCCUGGCAGUCAUUGCAGAGCAUGAUGGAACAUCGGUUGCACUUGAAAAGCUUCAGUUUCGUUUCUUGGCUUUCCUCAUCCCUAGUAGACUUUUCGGAAAUGAACCCGUACUCCACCAAUUCUGCCGCUUCGGGAUAUAAAAAGGACCAGGGUGAGAUAUCACGCCAGCAUCUUUCACAAGCAUAGUUUAGGCUCUGGUUCACAUCAUCGGUGGUAGCUUUGAUCCAGAUGUGGUAGCAAUCAAUAGGGUCAUAGUGAUGUAUAACGGGCUCCUCGCCAAACUCAUGAUCUCCGUCAUCCCAACGACUUCUUCCGCCGCGAUCUAGGUCUCGGACCCUUGGAGUUGUUUGAUUGGGCCUUUCGUCACUUCCAAUUUCAUUCUCGUUGCCGUUGUCUUCUUCGUCCCAGUCGGAAUCAUCGUCGUCAUCAUCGUCUUCUUCCCCGUAAUCAGUCCCAUCGAAAAAGCAGCCAUUUCGCUGGCACACUUCGAUAGGCAAUGUACAACUCCAGCACCAUUGAUCACCACACCUGCAGGCUACAUGGUUGCAGCCGAACAUUAAUCGCACUGCGCCACGGCAUUUAGGACAUCGUUUGAUUUUCCAUUGUUUCAGAAGCGCGGCUAGUUCGGGAUCGAGCUCGUCUGCACCUUCACAGCACUGCGCGCCUUUGUGCGCGAGUUGUUUGCACUUGCAACAGAUUUCAAUAGAACAACCUGGGCAUGGGAUUGAUGCAAGCUCUGGAGGUGGCAGUGAAGUCGAAGUUGGAGGUGUUGGUGGUGGAGUUUGUAGUUGUGUUGGGCCGAGGGACACUGAGGGGGUCUCUAAUUUAAGCUCCGCCAGCUUUGUAGAAUUAGGACGGUACUCAAGGGGAAAAAGUCUAUAAGGAAUGAAGGCAGAGCAUGUGAGAACAGGGCAGUAGACGCGGUUGGCAGUCGACCAUUCCUCGUGUUUGUUUUUGAACAGCUCUAAUUCUUCUGCGGUAAGAACUGGAACAGCCGCACCAAUAUUUAGAGGGCCGCAACAACGUGGUGGCAUCCGUGACUCAUCACCGCAGGCAGAAAUGAACAUUUUCCGAAUGCAAUGGUUGCAGGUACGAGAGGUACAUGACGUACACGGGGAAGACAAGAUAACGUCCUCGGAAACAGACUGGCAACAAAUGGAGCACUCCUCAACAACAACGACCUUGACCUCACGGACAGUUUCUGGCUCAUAGACUACUGCAAUAAAAUCUUGGUUCCCAUAUUGUCCCAUAAAUAUUUCGUUACUCAGUUCCAUCAUUGCAAGAUCGAACUCCUUUUCCUCCUCAAACAUGCCGGGAGCAUCGUAUAUCGCGGCAAAAUCCGGAUUUCCAAAGUGCGCCGUGAAUAUAUCGCUUGCUAUUUCCAUCAUUGCAACAUCGAACUCCAGUUCAUCCUCAGCAAAUACGUUUGGGGAAACGCCCGUAUCCGCUGUUGAAGCCAGCUUAUUCGGUAGAGGAGCUCUCGUUUGUGGAGUAGUUUCGAGUGUUUCUAGAUCGAAAUCUGGUGGAAGGAUGGUGAUUGUCACGCGCUUGCUGUUCUGAUAGCGGUCUAGUGAUUUGGCCACGAUUCGGUCGGCAUCGGGCUCCUCACCCGUCUGGGUGGAAUUAGAACAGCCCAUGGCUGGGCCAGCGAUAUAGUUUUUUAACUGUGGAAUAAAGGGGAGAGGGGGGAAAUAAUUUACAGUUACAUAUAGUUUAUAACCUCGUGGCAAAUGGAGUAACUUUUGCAGAGAAGAGAAAUUCUGAUAGAAGUCAAGCUCCUGUCUGGGAGGAGUAAGACAGAAAUCCAGGGAAAGGGAAGAAAAGUUAGGAAGG
rnacentral:sRNA from 2 species